rnacentral:rRNA from 1 species
CGGGAGGCUGCAGUGGGGAAUCUUGCGCAAUGGGCGAAAGCCUGACGCAGCAACGCCGCGUGGGGGAUGAAGGCUCUCGGGUUGUAAACCCCUUUCAGGAGGGACGAAAAUGACGGUACCUCCAGAAGAAGCCCCGGCCAACUACGUGCCAGCAGCCGCGGUAACACGUAGGGGGCGAGCGUUGUCCGGAUUUAUUGGGCGUAAAGAGCUCGUAGGCGGUUUGGCAAGUCGGGUGUGAAAUUUCGAGGCUCAACCUCGAAACGCCACUCGAUACUGCCAUGACUGGAGUCCGGUAGAGGAGUGCGGAAUUCCUGGUGUAGCGGUGAAAUGCGCAGAUAUCAGGAGGAACACCAACGGCGAAGGCAGCACUCUGGGCCGGUACUGACGCUGAGGAGCGAAAGCGUGGGGAGCAAACAGGAUUAGAUACCCUUGUAGUC